GACGUAGGGGCGAGCGUUGUCCGGAUUUAUUGGGCGUAAAGAGCGUGUAGGCGGCCAAGCAGGUCCGCUGUGAAAACUCGAGGCUCAACCUCGAGACGUCGGUGGAAACCGUUUGGCUAGAGUCCGGAAGAGGAGAGUGGAAUUCCCGGUGUAGCGGUGAAAUGCGCAGAUAUCGGGAAGAACACCCGUGGCGAAGGCGGCUCUCUGGGACGGUACUGACGCUGAGACGCGAAAGCGUGGGGAGCGAACGAGG
rnacentral:rRNA from 1 species